rnacentral:rRNA from 1 species
GGUAAGGGGUUCUGAGAUAUCCCCUGCUUUAAUCUGGUAUGGUUAGCUAAAUAAGCAUGACGUCUACUUAAUAAUCCAGAGUCUUUAUGUGCUACUAUCUUGAGAGCUAAAUAUUUUCUGGACGGCGAUUUAAUGAGUGCAAAUCUAAAAAAGGACUCCUCUUUUACUUGGCAAAGUAUCAUGGCGGGAGUGAACUGUCUGUAA